rnacentral:rRNA from 1 species
UGGGGAAUAUUGCACAAUGGGGGAAACCCUGACGCAGCGACGCCGCGUGGGGGAUGACGGCCUUCGGGUUGUAAACCUCUUUCGCCAGGGACGAAGAGCAAUUGACGGUACCUGGAGAAGAAGCACCGGCCAACUACGUGCCAGCAGCCGCGGUAACACGUAGGGUGCGAGCGUUGUCCGGAAUUAUUGGGCGUAAAGAGCUCGUAGGCGGUGUGUCGCGUCGGCCGUGAAAACUUGGGGCUUAACUCUGAGCGUGCGGUCGAUACGGGCAUCACUUGAGUUCGGCAGGGGAGACUGGAAUUCCUGGUGUAGCGGUGAAAUGCGCAGAUAUCAGGAGGAACACCGGUGGCGAAGGCGGGUCUCUGGGCCGAUACUGACGCUGAGGAGCGAAAGCGUGGGGAGCGAACAGG